AACGAACGCUGGCGGCAUGCCUAACACAUGCAAGUCGAACGAGACCUUCGGGUCUAGUGGCGCACGGGUGCGUAACGCGUGGGAAUCUGCCCUUGGGUUCGGAAUAACAGUUGGAAACGACUGCUAAUACCGGAUGAUGACGUAAGUCCAAAGAUUUAUCGCCCAGGGAUGAGCCCGCGUAGGAUUAGCUAGUUGGUGGGGUAAAGGCCUACCAAGGCGACGAUCCUUAGCUGGUCUGAGAGGAUGAUCAGCCACACUGGGACUGAGACACGGCCCAGACUCCUACGGGAGGCAGCAGUGGGGAAUAUUGGAAAAUGGGCGAAAGCCUGAUCCAGCAAUGCCGCGUGAGUGAUGAAGGCCUUAGGGUUGUAAAGCUCUUUUACCCGGGAUGAUAAUGACAGUACCGGGAGAAUAAGCCCCGGCUAACUCCGUG
rnacentral:rRNA from 1 species